AGAGUUUGAUCAUGGCUCAGGACGAACGCUGGCGGCGUGCCUAAUGCAUGCAAGUCGCACGCAGUCGCUUCGGCGGCUGAGUGGCGCACGGCUGAGGAACACGUGGGUACCUGCCCUGCAGUGGGGGAUAACAGCGCGAAAGCGCUGCUAAUCCCGCAUACGGUCGCGCAAGCGAAGAAAGUCGCAAGGCGCUGCGGGAGGGACCUGCGGCCUAUCAGGUUGUUGGUGUGGUAACGGCGCACCAAGCCGAUGACGGGUAGCUGGUCUGUGAGGACGAUCAGCCAGACUGGGACUGAGACACGGCCCAGACUCCUACGGGAGGCAGCAGCAAGGAAUUUUCCCUAUUGGGCGCAAGCCUGAGGGAGCAACGCCGCGUGCAGGACGACGGCUUUCGGGCUGUAAACUGCUUUUGGGGGGGAAGAUGAUGACGGUACCCCCCGAAUAAGCCCCGGCUAACUCUGUGCCAGCGGCCGCGGUAAUACAGAGGGGGCAAGCGUUGUCCGGACUGACUGGGCGUAAAGCGCACGCAGGCGGUUGUGGGCGUCGGUGCUGAAAGUCCACUGCUUAACAGUGGGAUGCGUGCCGAUACGCCAUAACUGGAGCGAUGCAGAGGCCAGUGGAAUUGCCGGUGUAGUGGUGAAAUGCGUAGAGAUCGGCAGGAACACCCAAGGGGAAGCCAGCUGGCUGGGCAUUUGCUGACGCUCAUGUGCGACAGCGUGGGGAGCGAACUGGAUUAGAUACCCAGGUAGUCCACGCCGUAAACGAUGGAUGCUCGGUGUCUGGUGGGUAAUUAGUCCCGCUGGGCGCCUCAGCUAACGCGCAAGCAUCCCGCCUGGGAACUGCGAGCGCAAGCUUAAAACUCAAAGGAAUUGACGG
rnacentral:rRNA from 1 species